AACGAACGCUGGCGGCAUGCCUAACACAUGCAAGUCGAACAAGACCUUCGGGUCUAGUGGCGCACGGGUGCGUAACGCGUGGGAACCUGCCCUUAGGUUCGGAAUAACUCCCCGAAAGGGGUGCUAAUACCGGAUAAUGUCUUCGGACCAAAGAUUUAUCGCCUUUGGAUGGGCCCGCGUUGGAUUAGCUAGUUGGUAGGGUAAAAGCCUACCAAGGCGACGAUCCAUAGAUGGUCUGAGAGGAUGAUCAGCCACACUGGGACUGAGACACGGCCCAGACUCCUACGGGAGGCAGCAGUGGGGAAUAUUGGACAAUGGGCGAAAGCCUGAUCCAGCAAUGCCGCGUGAGUGAUGAAGGCCUUAGGGUUGUAAAGCUCUUUUACCCGGGAUGAUAAUGACAGUACCGGGAGAAUAAGCACCGGCUAACUCCGUG
rnacentral:rRNA from 1 species